GACGAACCGUGCGAACGUUAUUCGGAAUCAUUGGGCGUAAAGCGCACGUAGGCGGUCCGGUAAGUCGGGAGUGAAAUCCCUCGGCUCAACCGAGGAAGUGCUUUCGAAACUGUCGGACUUGAGUAUGGAAGAGGGUCGCGGAAUUCCCGGUGUAGAGGUGAAAUUCGUAGAUAUCGGGAGGAACACCAGUGGCGAAGGCGGCGACCUGGGCCAAUACUGACGCUGAGGUGCGAAAGCGUGGGGAGCAAACAGG
rnacentral:rRNA from 1 species